rnacentral:rRNA from 1 species
UGCAGGUUGGAGUCUUUGUGGAAGCGUGUGUCUAAGUCCCUUGGAACAGGGUGCCAUUGAGGGUGAGAGCCCCGUGAGACGCGUGCGGAAGCUGUAAGGCCCUUCUGACGAGUCGAGUUGUUUGGGAAUGCAGCUCUAAGUGGGUGGUAAAUUCCAUCUAAGGCUAAAUAUUGGCGAGAGACCGAUAGCGAACAAGUACUGUGAAGGAAAGAUGAAAAGCACUUUGAAAAGAGAGUGAAACAGCACGUGAAAUUGUUGAAAGGGAAGGGUAUUGGGCUCGACAUGGGAUUUGCGCACCGCUGCUCCUUGUGGGCGGCGCUCUGUGCUUUUCCUGGGCCAGCAUCGGUUUUUGCCGCAGGAGAAGGCGUGCUGGAAUGUGGCUCUUCGGAGUGUUAUAGCCAGUGCGAGAUGCUGCGUGCGGGGACCGAGGACUGCGACAUCUGUCUCGGAUGCUGGCACAACGGCGCAAUAC